CGGGAACUCAAAGGAGACUGCCAGUGAUAAACUGGAGGAAGGUGGGGAUGACGUCAAGUCAUCAUGGCCCUUACGACCAGGGCUACACACGUGCUACAAUGGCGCAUACAAAGAGAAGCGACCUCGCGAGAGCAAGCGGACCUCAUAAAGUGCGUCGUAGUCCGGAUUGGAGUCUGCAACUCGACUCCAUGAAGUCGGAAUCGCUAGUAAUCGUGGAUCAGAAUGCCACGGUGAAUACGUUCCCGGGCCUUGUACACACCGCCCGUCACACCAUGGGAGUGGGUUGCAAAAGAAGUAGGUAGCUUAACCUUCGGGAGGGCGCUUACCACUUUGUGAUUCAUGACUGGGGUGAAGUCGUAACAAGGUAACCGUAGGGGAACCUGC
rnacentral:rRNA from 2 species